rnacentral:rRNA from 1 species
GAUGAACGCUGGCGGCGUGCUUAACACAUGCAAGUCGAGCGAAUGGAUUAAGAGCUUGCUCUUAUGAAGUUAGCGGCGGACGGGUGAGUAACACGUGGGUAACCUGUCCAUAAGACUGGGAUAACUCCGGGAAACCGGGGCUAAUACCGGAUAACAUUUUGAACCGCAUGGUUCGAAAUUGAAAGGCGGCUUCGGCUGUCACUUAUGGAUGGACCCGCGUCGCAUUAGCUAGGUGGUGAGGUAACGGCUCACCAAGGCAACGAUGCGUAGCCGAACUGAGAGGGUGAUCGGCCACACUGGGACUGAGACACGGCCCAGACUCCUACGGGAGGCAGCAGUAGGGAAUCUUCCGCAAUGGACGAAAGUCUGACGGAGCAACGCCGCGUGAGUGAUGAAGGCUUUCGGGUCGUAAAACUCUGUUGUUAGGGAAGAACAAGUGCUAGUUGAAUAAGCUGGCACCUUGACGGUACCUAACCAGAAAGCCACGGCUAACUACGUGCCAGCCGCCGCAGUAA